ACUAACUCACAAGAUUAUAA
rnacentral:snRNA from 1 species